rnacentral:tRNA from 1 species
UGUUCUGUGGCUUAGUUGGUUAAAGCGCUGGACUAGCGAUACGGGUUCGUAUCCCUCCAAAACAA